rnacentral:misc_RNA from 1 species
GAUGAAGAACGCAGCGAAAUGCGAUAAUUAAUGUGAAUUGCAGAAUUUAGUGAAUCAUCGAAUCUUUGAACGCACAUUGCGCCCCUUGGUAUCCCGAGGGGCAUGCCUGUUCGAGCGUCAUUUCACCACUCAAGCCUGGCUUGGUGUUGGGCGACGUCCCCUUUGGGGACGCGCCUCGAAACGCUCGGCGGCGUGGCACCGGCUUUAAGCGUAGCAGAAUCUUUCGCUUUGGAAGUCGGGGCCCCGUCUGCCGGAAGACCUACUCGCAAGGUUGACCUCGGAUCAGGCAGGGAUACCCGCUGAACUUAAGCAUAUCAAUAAGCGGAGGA